GCCAUUUUGUAUGGCUUGAACUAUCGCCCACUACUUCCAUCAACUGAGAUAUCUACACUUUGGAAUUUCUCUUGAUACUGAUCCAAUCAACUUUUGUUUUCAAGAUCAUGGUGCUAAGAGCGUAUGUAGUAGUUCAAGUUGCCUCUUUUAAAAGAAUUAUUCUGGAUAGGGUCUAAUGUAGCCUCCCACUGGCUAUGAAGGCAUAAAAGAGAAAGGAUUUGUCUAUUGAAAUCUCAGUUCUUACAACAUUUUAUGAAAUUUACCUCAAGAUGGAACAUUUUCAAAGCUGAUUUUAAAAAGUGGGUUCUCAUCACUUGAAUUAUAAAACUUCAGAGACUCUGAGAGAAUUAUAGCCCUGAGUCCAGGAAGAUGAGCCCACAAAAACAGGUCAAAGCUGCAGGCAGAGGAGGCACUUAGGGUUGACUGAAGAAGAGAAGAAACAAACCUACAGCACUUGGCAUUUAUUGAAGGGAGACAGAGAAGCAGCAAGUGCUUUCUGAGGAAAGAACAGAUGGAAGGAAAAUUAAGCAAAGUUAAAAAACAUUGCUGUGGUCUGUUCCACAAAAACCAGCAGAGCUGUGGUUUCUCCAGAGUCAGAGAAUUGAAAGGAUUAUUUCCAUAGCCUCCUGCCUGACCUUCCUCCUGCUACCCUUGCCUGGUCGGCUCUCAACAUCUGAACCUGAAAAACAUAGAAGCUGGAUCAUAUCAUGGUGAUCUGCUUACCUUCUCCUGGCUUUCAAUCCCAUUAAGGAUGGAUGACAAGCCGACUCUAACAGGUGGACUAAUGAGUCUGAGACCAAGUGGGAGGCAUGGAGGUGCAUCAUCCAGAUCUCCUGUACAGAAAACCUGCUGUACAGAGCAGAUGACAAUGCUGCUGUGUCUUCUGAUGGAGCCUGGCAUUUACACUGAGGCCGCCCUUCACCCAGCCUGUUCCCAGGCAGUGACCAGGCACAGCAGUGCCACAAGAGCCUGUACCCUGUUGCCCAAUGUGAGAUUUCUCCAGCUUCUGCUCUAAGACUCUGCAUUGGCCAGGCUAGGGUUUUCUCAGAACUGUACUCAGAUCGGCAGAGAUUCUUCCUACCGGAUGCUCCUUUCUUCCCACUUUGCUUUCACUGUGUUGGACCUGCAUCACCUUCCCUCUCCUGUUCCCUCCUUCUUUAUCCUUGGUAUCAUUCUCCCCAGCAAGGGUCUUGUCUUGUACAACCUGUCUGUCUUGUCAUCUUCUCCUCAAAGGACCUUACCCUGACACAGACCACAUAACUAAUAACUAUCAUAAUUAGACCUUGAUGCCAAAGGCAAUGCUCUUUCAGUAUUGACAUUAACACUACUAAUGGUACUAAUAAGGACACUGCUACUAAUAUUUAACAGUGUAUAAAUACCCUUGUUGAGUAUUUACUGUGAACUAGGUAUUGUGCUUGGACUUCCACGCAUUCUCUUGUUCAGUUUUCACAACAAUCUAUAAUAAGAUAGAUAGUCUUUGCAUUUUACAGAUGAUAGACAAAGGCUUGGAAAUGUUAUUAACUCACCUGCAUAACUAUCUAGUAGCAUAACUAGAAUUUGCCCUUGGGUCUGUAUGGCUCAAAAAUCCAAGUUCUUAACCCCUCUGUACAUUUUGUAGACACAACUGCUUACCAUAAACCAUUCUACCUCCUUCCAACUUGCAUUACUUUGCAUGUUUUUGGCUCUGAUUUGAUGGGUAUUUUUCCACUUGAAGUGAGAAUAAGCAAAAGACAUUUAUAAAACACCAACUUCAUGCCCAGGUUUUUUUUUUUAUAUAUAUAUAUAACCUGAGGAUUCAAUAAAAAGAAAGGGCUA